rnacentral:sRNA from 1 species
GGUAGGCAUGCGCUGGAUUUAUCCCGAGUUGCUUUCGAGCGGCAGCACUCUCGCAGUGUGAAUCAGGGACCGGGGGCCUACCCACAC